rnacentral:rRNA from 1 species
UGGGGUGACUGCGUACCUUUUGUAUAAUGGGUCAGCGACUUAUAUUCUGUAGCAAGGUUAACCGAAUAGGGGAGCCGGAGGGAAACCGAGUCUUAAUUGGGCGUUAAGUUGCAGGGUAUAGACCCGAAACCCGGUGAUCUAGCCAUGGGCAGGUUGAAGGUUGGGUAACACUAACUGGAGGACCGAACCGACUAAUGUUGAAAAAUUAGCGGAUGACCUGUGGCUGGGGGUGAAAGGCCAAUCAAACCGGGAGAUAGCUGGUUCUCCCCGAAAGCUAUUUAGGUAGCGCCUCGUGAAUUCAUCUCCGGGGGUAGAGCACUGUUUCGGCUAGGGGGCCAUCCCGGCUUACCAACCCGAUGCAAACUGCGAAUACCGGAGAAUGUUAUCACGGGAGACACACGGCGGGUGCUAACGUCCGUCGUGAAGAGGGAAACAACCCAGACCGCCAGCUAAGGUCCCAAAGUCAUGGUUAAGUGGGAAACGAUGUGGGAAGGCCCAGACAGCCAGGAUGUUGGCUUAGAAGCAGCCAUCAUUUAAAGAAAGCGUAAUAGCUCACUGGUCGAGUCGGCCUGCGCGGAAGAUGUAACGGGGCUAAACCAUGCACCGAAGCUGCGGCAGCGAACGUAUCACCCAAGACAACUUUACGGAGUUGACGAUUGACGGAGCGAAGCGACGUCAAAGCGUUCAUUAAAGUCGAGUUGGCUUAGGGAUACGUUCGUUGGGUAGGGGAGCGUUCUGUAAGCCUGUGAAGGUGUGUCGUGAGGCAUGCUGGAGGUAUCAGAAGUGCGAAUGCUGACAUAAGUAACGAUAAAGCGGGUGAAAAGCCCGCUCGCCGGAAGACCAAGGGUUCCUGUCCAACGUUAAUCGGGGCAGGGUGAGUCGACCCCUAAGGCGAGGCCGAAAGGCGUAGUCGAUGGGAAACGGGUUAAUAUUCCCGUACUUGGUGUUACUGCGAAGGGGGGACGGAGAAGGCUAUGUUGGCCGGGCGACGGUUGUCCCGGUUUAAGCGUGUAGGUGUGUGUUCCAGGUAAAUCCGGUUCACUUUAACACUGAGGC